AUGUCUCUGAUUGAAUCGGCAGAGGAUCCUCACCUGAUCUCUUUGGCUGUGGUAGAAUUACUGAACCUUUUUAUAGACACACGGUUCAAAGCAACAAAAGAGGAUACUCAUUAUCUUUUCACAAUCAGAAAUGUCAGAAAAGAGGACGAAGCAACAUAUUUCUGUCUCACUGGAUCAACGUAUUCACAGAGUUUUGGCAUUGGCAUCUUCUUAGCUGUGAAAGAUCAGCGGAAAUCUGUCUACGUGAAGCAAAGUCCAAAGACCAAGUCAGUCCAGCCCGGCGACACAGUGACUCUGGAGUGUUCACUUAUCUCCAAAAACAACGAAAGCGCAGAUCAGUGUCCAGGUGAACACAAUGUUUCCUGGUUCAGAUCUGGAUCAGGAGAAUCUCAUCCAAGCAUAAUUUACACUCACAGUGAGGAACAAAAGGAACGCAGUUGUGUCUUCAGUCUGUCCAAAAUUAUACACAACUCCUCUGAUAACGGGACGUAUUACUGUGCUGUGGCUACAUGUGGACAGAUCCUGUUUGGAGAAGGAACUACAGUGGAGACAAGUAUGUUUUAA